rnacentral:tRNA from 1 species
GGGGGCAUAGUUCAGUGGUAGAAUUUUCGUCUCCAAAACGAAAGACCUUGGUUCGAAUCCAAGUGCCCCCG